AACUCACAAUUACUUGGAUAACNNNNNAAUUCUAGAGCUAAUACAUGCUAACAGAGCUCUAACCGGAAACGGAAGGAGCGCUUUUAUUAGAUCAAAACCAAUCGGUGGCGGUUUCCGCUGUCAUCGUACAACUUGGUGAAUCUGAAUAACUUUAAGCUGAUCGCACGGUCUUGCACCGGCGACGUAUCUUUCAAAUGUCUGCCUUAUCAACUGUCGAUGGUAGGUUUUGCGCCUACCAUGGUUGUAACGGGUNAACGGGGAAUCAGGGUUCGAUUCCGGAGAGGGAGCCUGAGAAACGGCUACCACAUCCAAGGAAGGCAGCAGGCGCGCAAAUUACCCACUCCCGGCACGGGGAGGUAGUGACGAAAAAUAACGAUACGGGACUCAUCCGAGGCCCCGUAAUCGGAAUGAGAACACUCUAAACCCUUUAACGAGGAUCAAUUGGAGGGCAAGUCUGGUGCCAGCAGCCGCGGUAAUUCCAGCUCCAAUAGCGUAUAUUAAAGUUGUUGCGGUUAAAAAGCUCGUAGUCGAAUCUGUGUUCCGCGCCGUUGGUUCAUCGUUCGCGGUGUUAACUGACGUGUCGCGGAACGUCCUGCCGGUGGGCUUAGCUUGAAAGGGCGGCCCAAAUCAAUCCCGCCGCGGUGCUCUUCAUUGAGUGUCGAGGUGGGCCGGCACGUUUACUUUGAACAAAUUAGAGUGCUUAAAGCAGGCUAAAAUUUUGCCUGAAUACUGUGUGCUUGUAAAAGUGGAAUAGGACCUCGGUUCUAUUUUGUUGGUC
rnacentral:rRNA from 1 species